rnacentral:lncRNA from 1 species
AACAAGCAGAUCUUUCUAUAAUUAAAGUGAGCUACAUUUAUUCUACAACAAAGAUCAGUGCUUUAAAUUGUUUCCAUUGAAUAGAAGCUCAUUCCCAUAAUAUUCUAACCAAAACAGCUACUAGCUUGAAUCACAUCAUCUGUAUUUCACUUAAAUUCAAAAGUGGGAGGUAUAGGCGAAUCAAAACUCUCUAAAAUCUCCACCUUUGAUCCUUCGCCAGUCUUUUUCUCUUCUUCUUUCUUUCCUUGCCCAAACAACCCUCCAAACCACGACGGUG